CACUCCUACGGGAGGCAGCAGUGGGGAAUUUUGGACAAUGGGGGCAACCCUGAUCCAGCAAUGCCGCGUGAGUGAAGAAGGCCUUCGGGUUGUAAAGCUCUUUUGUCAGGGAAGAAACGGUGGUGGCGAAUAACUACUACUAAUGACGGUACCUGAAGAAUAAGCACCGGCUAACUACGUGCCAGCAGCCGCGGUAAUACGUAGGGUGCAAGCGUUAAUCGGAAUUACUGGGCGUAAAGCGUGCGCAGGCGGUUGUGUAAGUCAGAUGUGAAAUCCCCGGGCUCAACCUGGGAAUUGCAUUUGAGACUGCACGGCUAGAGUGUGUCAGAGGGGGGUAGAAUUCCACGUGUAGCAGUGAAAUGCGUAGAUAUGUGGAGGAAUACCGAUGGCGAAGGCAGCCCCCUGGGAUAACACUGACGCUCAUGCACGAAAGCGUGGGGAGCAAACAGGAUUAGAUACCCUGGUAGUCCCAUG
rnacentral:rRNA from 1 species